AUCUGUUGGGGUGCCUGUGAUUUUUACACUGGCUGAGAGGCGUAUUUCCGCUAACCCAUUGGACCUGAUCCGGUUCGUACCGGCGUAGGAAACGGAGCU
rnacentral:ncRNA from 1 species